rnacentral:rRNA from 1 species
AUACGUAGGGGGCGAGCGUUGUCUGGAAUGAUUGGGCGUAAAGGGCGCGUAGGCGGCCCGGUAAGUCUGGAGUGAAAGUCCUGUUUUUAAGAUGGGAAUUGCUUUGGAUACUGUCGGGCUUGAGUGCAGGAGAGGUAAGUGGAAUUCCCAGUGUAGCGGUGAAAUGCGUAGAGAUUGGGAGGAACACCAGUGGCGAAGGCGACUUACUGGACUGUAACUGACGCUGAGGCGCGAAAGUGUGGGGAGCAAACAGGAUUAGAUACCCUGGUAGUCCACGCGGUAAACGAUGAAUGCUAGGUGUUGCGGGUAUCGACCCCUGCAGUGCCGGAGUAAACACAAUAAGCAUUCCGCCUGGGGAGUACGGCCGCAAGGUUGAAACUCAAAUGAAUUGGCGGGG